GAGCCAGUUUCUCAUCAUUCUAUCACUUUUUCUGCGUUGUACUGAAAUGAAUUGAUAAAGUUCAUGCAUCGUUGCUAAGUGAUCAGGUGCUAAUAUCAAAAUUAUUCCGGGGUCGGUUACCCGAACUAUUUCCUCUUCGUUGUCCGCGACCCAUUCGUUCAGCGUUCACUGAUGAGCUCUAGCAUCACCUCCGACAUCAAAACUCAAAAGACUAGAGCCAGUUUCUCAUCAUUCUAUCACUUUUUCUGCGUUGUACUGAAAUGAAUUGAUAAAGUUCAUGCAUCGUUGCUAAGUGAUCAGGUGCUAAUAUCAAAAUUAUUCCGGGGUCGGUUACCCGAACUAUUUCCUCUUCGUUGUCCGCGACCCAUUCGUUCAGCGUUCACUGAUGAGCUCUAGCAUCACCUCCGACAUCAAAACUCAAAAGGUGCUAAUAUCAAAAUUAUUCCGGGGUCGGUUACCCGAACUAUUUCCUCUUCGUUGUCCGCGACCCAUUCGUUCAGCGUUCACUGAUGAGCUCUAGCAUCACCUCCGACAUCAAAACUCAAAAGGUAAUCUAAAUUUCUUUCCCCCACUUCUCUUGAAUUUUAAUUUAGUUUUCAUGAAAUGAGGUUAGCACUAGAAAAAAGGGGGCCAAUUGUUCUAGGGUUCUGAAAACCCAAAAUUUGAUAGGCUUUAUCUAUUUGUUUUCGUGGGUGACUUAUUAAUUGUGCGAUAGAUUCAUGAAAAUUUUGUAAUUUGUAUAUUAUUAGGAGUACCAUUGAAAUCUGUAUGUUAUGGGUUUUGUGUUUACUCAGUCAUUUUAUCGAGCAUCUUUAGGUCAUCAAUACAACGUGGGCUUUUUUUUCCCCUUCCUGAUCGAGUUUUGUUAUAUAGCUAUGUGUUUUCUGUUAACAAAUGCCAUGGUAUAUAAUUGUGAAAGAUAUAAUUCUAAGUAAAAGACCCGUGCGCAGGGCCGGCCCUAGCAUAAGGCAACUAAGGCCUUUGCCUUGGGCCCCAAGUUGGAUAAGGCCCACCCACCCAUAUAUAUAAUAUAUGUAACUUAGUUACUUAAGCAUAAAGCUAACCCUAUUUAAAAAGUGAAGAUCCAAAGAUAAAAAGUGAAGCUAAUAGCUUAGCAACUUAUGAGAUUGAAAAUUUUGAAUUCUUAAUAGCUAUGAAUAUUUGGUAUGACAUAUUGUUUGCUGUUAAUUCAGUUAGUAAAAUCUUACAAUCUAAAUAUAUGCAUAUUGAUAUUGUCAUAGAUCAAUUAAAGGGUCUUAUUGUAUAUUUAGAAAAUUAUAGACAAAAUGCUUUUAUAUCUGCUUUGAAUUCAACUAAAGAACUUGCUAAUUAAAUGACGUACAACCUAUAUUUUGUGAAAAACGUAAAAUUCAUAGAAAAAAACAAUUUGAUGAAAUAUUGGUAAUGAAACAACAUUUAACGCUGAAGAAUCUUUUCGUAUUGAAUAUUUCUAUACAUAGUUGAUAAAUCGCUUGGCUCAAUUGAAAGUAGGUUUGAACAAUUUAAAACGUAUGAAAAAAAAUUUGGUUUUUUGUUUGAUUUGAAAAAAUUAAAAGCUUUAGAUGAUAUUGAAUUGAAAGCAUAUUGUCUUAAUCUCGAAAAUGCACUAAAACAUGAUGAACAUUUAGAUAUUAAUGGACUUGAUUUGUUUUCAGAAUUGAGAGUGCUUAGGGAAAUUUUAA